rnacentral:rRNA from 1 species
GACGAACGCUGGCGGCGUGCUUAACACAUGCAAGUCGAACGGAAAGGCCCUGCAUUUGUGGGGUGCUCGAGUGGCGAACGGGUGAGUAACACGUGAGUAACCUGCCCUUGACUUUGGGAUAACUUCAGGAAACUGGGGUUAAUACCGGAUAGGAGCUCUUGCUGCAUGGUGGGGGUUGGAAAGUUUCGGCGGUUGGGGAUGGACUCGCGGCUUAUCAGCUUGUUGGUGGGGUAGUGGCUUACCAAGGCUUUGACGGGUAGCCGGCCUGCGAGGGUGACCGGCCACAUUGGGACUGAGAUACGGGCAAGAGUCCUACGGGAGGCAGCAGUGGGGAAUAUUGCGCGAUGGGCGGAAGCAUGAUGCAGCAACGCCGCGUGCGGGAUGACGGCCUGCGGGUUGUAAACCGCUUUAGCCUGGGACGAAGCGUGAGUGACGGUAAUGGGUAAAGAAGCACCGGCUAACUACGUG